UACGGGGGGAGCAAGCGUUGUUCGGAUUUACUGGGCGUAAAGGGCGCGUAGGCGGCGUGGUAAGUCACUUGUGAAAUCUCUGAGCUUAACUCAGAACGGCCAAGUGAUACUGCUGUGCUAGAGUGCAGAAGGGGCAAUCGGAAUUCUCGGUGUAGCGGUGAAAUGCGUAGAUAUCGAGAGGAACACCAGAGGUGAAGACGGGUUGCUGGGCUGACACUGACGCUGAGGCGCGAAAGCCAGGGGAGCAAACGGG
rnacentral:rRNA from 1 species